GUUUAAAUAGUUUAAUAAAAAUAUUGGUUUGUGGUACCAGAGAUAUCUUUCGGAUUUUAAAUU
rnacentral:tRNA from 1 species